UAUACCUUAAGUAAACAGAACUGUGGGGACACGUGUGGAGAGCACAAGCCGGAAAUGGAAAAGCCGGUGCAAGCGAGGUAGGAGUACAGUAGGCAAAUCCGCUGUACAAUCCGAAGACGUGAUGCGGACCGAAUUAAGAGUAGGGGAGUGUGUGAGCCAUGCGUCAAGAAAAGCCGCUAUUGUUUUACUUAAGCCCGUACCGUAAACCGAUACAGGUGGAUGAGGAGAGAAUCCUAAGGCCGACGGGAGAAGCAUUGUUAAGGAACUCGGCAAAAUGACUCCGUAACUUCGGGAGAAGGAGUGCCAGCGAGAGCUGGCCGCAGAGAAUUGGCCCAAGCAACUGUUUAGCAAAACACAGGUCUAUGCAAAACCGUAAGGUGAAGUAUAUGGGCUGACGCCUGCCCGGUGCUGGAAGGUUAAGAGGAGAGGUUAGCGGCAACGCGAAGCUUUGAAUUUAAGCCCCAGUAAACGGCGGCCGUAACUAUAACGGUCCUAAGGUAGCGAAAUUCCUUGUCGGGUAAGUUCCGACCCGCACGAAAGGCGUAAUGAUUUGGGCACUGUCUCAACAAUGCACCCGGUGAAAUUGAAAUACCAGUGAAGGUGCUGGUUACCUGCGCCAGGACGGAAAGACCCCAUGGAGCUUUACUCCAGCUUGAUACUGGGAUUCGGUAUUGCAUGUACAGGAUCGGUGGGAGGCUAGGAAGUGAUAACGCCAGUUGUCACGGAGCCGCUGUUGGGAUACCACCCUUGCAGUAUUGGAUUUCUAACCAGCGACCAUGAACUGGUCGGGGGACAAUGUCAGGUGGGGAGUUUGACUGGGGCGGUCGCCUCCGAAAGGGUAUCGGAGGCGCUCAAAGGUUCCCUCAGAAUGGACGGAAACCAUUCGAAGAGUGCAAAGGCAGAAGGGAGCUUGACUGCGACACCGACGGGUGGAGCAGGUACGAAAGUAGGACUUAGUGAUCCGGUGGUAUAAAGUGGGAUUGCCAUCGCUCAACGGAUAAAAGCUACCCUGGGAUAACAGGCUUAUCACUCCCAAGAGUUCACAUCGACGGAGUGGUUUGGCACCUCGAUGUCGGCUCAUCGCAUCCUGGGGCUGAAGUAGGUCCCAAGGGUUGGGCUGUUCGCCCAUUAAAGCGGUACCCGAGCUGGGUUCAGAACGUCGUGAGACAGUUCGGUCCCUAUCCGGCGUGGGCGUAGGAUAUUUGAGAGGAGCUGUCCUUAGUACGAGAGGACCGGGAUGGACUGGCCGCUGGUGUAUCUGUUGCAUACCAAAUGCAUGGCAGAGUAGCCAAGCCGGGACGGGAUAAACGCUGAAGGCAUCUAAGCGUGAAGCCCCCCUCAAGAUGAGAUAUCCCUACGUAAGUAGUAAGACCCCUUGAAGACGACGAGGUAGAUAGGUCAGAGGUGGAAGUACAGUAAUGUAUGGAGCUGACUAAUACUAAUCGGUCGAGGGCAUGACU
rnacentral:rRNA from 1 species